GACAGAGGGUGCAAACGUUGUUCGGAAUUACUGGGCGUAAAGCGCGUGUAGGCGGCUCGGCAAGUCGGAUGUGAAAGCCCUGGGCUUAACCUAGGAAGUGCAUUCGAAACUACCGAGCUUGAGUUCUGGAGAGGAAGGCGGAAUUCUCGGUGUAGAGGUGAAAUUCGUAGAUAUCGAGAGGAACACCGGUGGCGAAGGCGGCCUUCUGGACAGUGACUGACGCUGAGACGCGAAAGCGUGGGGAGCAAACAGG
rnacentral:rRNA from 1 species